rnacentral:rRNA from 1 species
AUUGAACGCUGGCGGCAGGCCUAACACAUGCAAGUCGAACGGUAGCACAGAGAGCUUGCUCUCGGGUGACGAGUGGCGGACGGGUGAGUAACGUCUGGGAAACUGCGCGAGGGCGGGGGAGAACUACCGGAAACGGUAGGUAAUACCGCAGAACGUGGCAAGACCAAAGUGGGGGACUUUCGGGCCCCACACCAUCGGAGGUGCGCAGAUGGGAUUAGCUAGUGGGUGGGGUAAUGGCUCACCUAGGCGACGAUCCCUAGCUGGUCUGAGAGGAUGACCAGCCACACUGGAACUGCGACACGGUCCAGACUCCUACGGGAGGCAGCAGUGGGGAAUAUUGCACAAUGGGCGCAAGCCUGAUGCAGCCAUGCCGCGUGUAUGAAGAAGGCCUUCGGGUUGUAAAGUACUUUCAGCGGGGAGGAAGGCGGUGAAGUUAAUAACUUCACCGAUUGACGUUACCCGCAGAAGAAGCACCGGCUAACUCCGUGCCAGCAGCCGCAGUAA